GGCCAUAGCUCAGGGGCAGAGUAUCUGCUUUGCAGGCAGAAGAUCCCAGGUUCAAUCCCAAGCGGAGGGCUA